rnacentral:rRNA from 1 species
CUACGGGUGGCACCAGUCGAGAAUCUUCCGCAAUGGACGAAAGUCUGACGGAGCGACGCCGCGUGCGGGAUGAAGGCCUUCGGGUUGUAAACCGCUGUCAGUGGGGAGGAAAUGCAUCAGGGUUCUCCCUGGUGUUUGACCGAUCCGCAGAGGAAGCGCAGGCUAAGUUCGUGCCAGCAGCCGCGGUAACACGAACUGCGCGAACGUUAUUCGGAAUCACGGGGCUUAAAGAGUUCGUAGGCGGCCUUUCAAGUCGGGUGUGAAAUCCCUCGGCUCAACCGAGGAAUUGCGCCUGAUACUGUUGGGCUUGAGGGGGAUAGGGGUGAGCGGAACUGAUGGUGGAGCGGUGAAAUGCGUUGAUAUCAUCAGGAACACCGGUGGCGAAGGCGGCUCACUGGAUCUCUUCUGACGCUGAGGGACGAAAGCUAGGGGAGCGAACGGGAUUAGAUACCCGAGUAGUC